AGCUCACUCAAGGUGAGAAAUACCGCUUUACGCGCGAUCAUCGAGUGUCAUCGCUGUCCAUGCACUCCUGUAGUUCAGCUACUAUAAAGGCUAUUUAUAGUGUUCGGAUGAUAACGAUGUAGUGACUUCGGGCUACCUUACGUCGUCUUACUUUCGUGUACUGGUCUUCGAUCAGGGCUGUCUUGUUAGUGAGACGUUCAUGAUCGUUUAUUGGGCGGGGAGUGGGAAGCCAUGCAAAUUCUACUGUAGAUAAACUUAGAGUGUUCCGCUAGGCAGGCGGAAUGACUGGAAUACCAUUUAGCAUGUAUUAUAGUAAGUCGACGGUCGGCUGAUAUUAUUGUGGUUUGGGGAACCUGGGUUACUGUUUUAAUUGGGUCGUCGGGGCCAUUAUUUUUGCAUUUGUCGAGGAGGGAACUAUUGGAAUACGGAAGACAAAGAUGUUUGCAAGCAUCUACCAAGGAAGUUGUGCGAUUAUAAAGAGAGCAGAGUCGGGGAUCGUAUGUGCCUUGAAAUAUGUGGAGUAGUGAUACGGAGAUAUAUGCGAAUAGGGAUCGCGGGCACGCUUAUUUAGUACUCCUCGGCUCCCUCUAGGAAGUAAAUUUUUUUGCGUGUGGGGGGAGUAUAGUAAUAGACGGAAGAACUACACCAAGAGUGGGAAGGGCACCCCCAGGUGUGUGGCCUCGGGGAUAAUUUGGAUCUCACGGCGGAAAGACGACAGGUCCAGAGAAACAUAGGUUUUGAAUCAAUGGGGGGUUUUUCAUGUCCGUUGGGGGGUGGGGGAGUGACUUUUUUGGUUAAUUCCGUUAACGAACGAGACCAUUACCUGUUAAAAAGUCACCUGAACCGGUCAAAAAAGGCUCAAAGUUUGGGGCUGUACUUGGUAGAGGGAGGGGUCGCAUCGGCCCGCGAAGGGAAGUGUGAGGCAAUAACAGGUGUGUGAUGCCCUUAGAUGUUUUCUGCCGCACGCGCGUUACACAGACGGAGUCACAGAGAGUUUUUCCUUGCCCGAAAGGCCCGGGUAACCUCCUUAAACUCCGUCGUGAUGGGGAUAGAUCAUUGCAAUUAUUGAUCUUGAACGAGGAAUUCCUAGUAAGCGCGAGUCAUCAACCCGCGCUGAUUACGUCCCUGCCCUUUGUACACCCCGCCCGUCGGUUUUACCGAUUGAAAGGUCCGGUGAGACUCCGGAUGGGCCCGGGCAGGGGUCAAAGCCACCCCGGCCUGAGAAGUUUUUCAAUAUUUAUCUUAAACAGAAAAAUGAAUUAUUAAACAA
rnacentral:rRNA from 1 species